rnacentral:rRNA from 1 species
AUGGUCAAGCUACAAAGGGCCUACGGUGGAUACCUAGGCACAGGGAGGCGAAGAAGGACGUGGUUACCUACGAUAAGCUCCGGGGAGCUGGAAGCAAGCAUUGAACCGGAGGUUUCCGAAUGGGGCAACCCCCAGCACGACUGACUGAAUCCAUAGGUCAGAGCGAGCGAACCCGGCGAACUGAAACAUCUUAGUAGCCGGAGGAAAAGAAAACAAAAGUGAUUUCCUAAGUAGCGGCGAGCGAACGGGAAGAAGCCCAAACCAAUCGGCAUGUCCGGUUGGGGUUGUAGGACGGCAGACGGUAUGCAAGAGGCUAGACGAAGCGUUUGAAUGACGCACCGUAGAGGGUGAUAGUCCUGUAGUCGAAAGCAGAAUGCAGCCAGCCGGAUCCUGAGUAGCACGGUACACGAGAAAUUCCGUGUGAAUCCGCGAGGACCACCUCGUAAGGCUAAAUACUACCCUGUGACCGAUAGUGAAGAAGUACCGCGAGGGAAAGGUGAAAAGAACCCCGGAAGGGGAGUGAAAUAGAACAUGAAACCGUAGGCUUACAAGCAGUGGGAGGACGAUUAAACGUCUGACCGCGUGCCUGUUGAAGAAUGAGCCGGCGACUUGCAGGCAGUGGCAGGUUAAAGCGGAAAUGCUGGAGCCAAAGCGAAAGCGAGUCUGAAGAGGGCGAAAGUCACUGUUUGCAGACCCGAACCCGGGCGAUCUAACCAUGGCCAGGCUGAAGCUUGGGUGACACCAAGUGGAGGGCCGAACCGACCGAUGUUGAAAAAUCGGCGGAUGAGCUGUGGUUAGGGGUGAAAUGCCAAUCGAGCCCGGAGCUAGCUGGUUCUCCCCGAAAUAUGUUGAGGCAUAGCGGUUGCGGCUGACUUUGGGGGUAAAGCACUGAAUCGGUGCGGGCUGGGAGACCGGUACCAAAUCGAAUCAAACUCUGAAUACCAAAGAAUUGCGCGACCAGUCAGACUGUGGGGGAUAAGCUCCAUGGUCAAGAGGGAAACAGCCCAGACCGCCAGCUAAGGUCCCCAAGUUAUCGCUAAGUGAUAAAGGAUGUGGGAAUACAGAGACAACCAGGAGGUUUGCCUAGAAGCAGCCACCCUUGAAAGAGUGCGUAAUAGCUCACUGGUCAAGUGUUCCUGCGCCGAAAAUGAACGGGGCUAAGCGAUACACCGAAGCUGCGGAUUCGAAAGAAUGGUAGGGGAGCGUUCUGUAGUAGGUAGAAGCGGUAGCGUGAGCAGCCGUGGACGAGACAGAAGUGAGAAUGUCGGCUUGAGUAGCGAAAAUGUGGGUGAGAAUCCCACACCCCGAAAACCUAAGGGUUUCUCCGCAAGGUUCGUCCGCGGAGAGUUAGUCGGGACCUAAGGCGAGGCCGAAGGGCGUAGUCGAUGGAUACAGGGUCAAUAUUCCCUGACUGGACUGUUGGAGCAAACUGGGGACGCAUGAGAAAUUACCACGCCCUGAUUGGAUUGGGAGGACUCUACGGAGUCUGUGUGGAAAAGGUAGUGCCAAGAAAAGCCAGGUAGCGAUGAAGACAGCCACCCGUACCCGAAACCGACACAGGUGGGUGGGUAGAGAAUACCAAGGGGCGCGAGAUAACUCUCUCUAAGGAACUCGGCAAAAUAGCCCCGUAACUUCGGGAGAAGGGGUGCCACCGCGAGGUGGUCGCAGUGAAAUGUUCCAGGCGACUGUUUACCAAAAACACAGGUCUCUGCAAAGUCGUAAGACGACGUAUAGGGGCUGACGCCUGCCCAGUGCCGGAAGGUUAAGGAAGUUGGUCAGCGCAAGCGAAGCUGGCGACCGAAGCCCCGGUGAACGGCGGCCGUAACUAUAACGGUCCUAAGGUAGCGAAAUUCCUUGUCGGGUAAGUUCCGACCCGCACGAAAGGCGUAACGAUCUGGAAGCUGUCUCGGAGAGAGGCUCGGCGAAAUAGACUUGUCUGUGAAGAUGCGGACUACUUGCACCCGGACAGAAAGACCCUAUGAAGCUUUACUAUAACUUGGAAUUGGCUUCGGGCUUUGCUUGCGCAGGAUAGGUGGGAGACUAUGAAGCUUUCUUUGUGGAGAGAGCAGAGUCAACGGUGAGAUACCACUCUGGCAAGGCUAGAAUUCUAACCUCUGCCCGUUAGCCGGGAGAGGAACAGUUUCAGGCGGGUAGUUUGACUGGGGCGGUCGCCUCCUAAAAGAUAACGGAGGCGCGCAAAGGUUCCCUCAGGCUGGUCGGAAAUCAGUCGAAGAGUGCAAAAGCAAAAGGGAGCUUGACUGCAAGACCAACAAGUCGAGCAGGGUGGAAACACGGCUUUAGUGAUCCGACGGCACAGCGUGGAAUGGCCGUCGCUCAACGGAUAAAAGUUACUCUAGGGAUAACAGGCUGAUCUCCCCCAAGAGUUCACAUCGACGGGGAGGUUUGGCACCUCGAUGUCGGCUCAUCGCAACCUGGUGCGGAAGUACGUGCC